rnacentral:rRNA from 1 species
AUUGAACGCUGGCGGCAGGCCUAACACAUGCAAGUCGAGCGGAGCGGCGGACGGGUGCGUAAUGACUAGGAAUCUGCAUGGUAGUGGGGGAUAACGUCCGGAAACGGGCGCUAAUACAGCAUACUCACAGAUGAGCCUAGGUCGGAUUAGCCAGUUGGUGGGGUAAGGGACUACAACGGCGACGACCAGUAACUGGUAUGAGAGGAUGAUCAUUCAAACUGGAGCUGAUACACGGUCCAGACUCCUACGGGGGGCCGCAGUGGGGAAUAUUGUACAAUGGUCGAAAGCCUGAUACAGCCAGGCCGCGUGUAUGAAGAAGGUCUUCGGAUUGUAAAGCACUUUAAGUUGGGAGGCGUUACCAACAGAAUAAGCACCGGCUAACUACGUGCCAGCAGCCGCGGUAAUUC